rnacentral:rRNA from 1 species
UACGGAGGAUGCGAGCGUUAUCCGGAUUUAUUGGGUUUAAAGGGUGCGUAGGCGGACUGUUAAGUCAGCGGUAAAAGCCCGGGGCUCAACCCCGGCGAGCCGUUGAAACUGGCAGUCUUGAGUACAGUAGAGGUGGGCGGAAUUCGUGGUGUAGCGGUGAAAUGCUUAGAUAUCACGCAGAACCCCGAUUGCGAAGGCAGCAUACCGGCGCCCUACUGACGCUGAGGCACGAAAGUGCGGGUAUCGAACAGG